UACAGAGGGGGCAAGCGUUGUUCGGAAUUACUGGGCGUAAAGGGCGCGUAGGUGGCCUUCUAAGUUGAACGUGAAAUCCCCGGGCUCAACCUGGGAACUGCAUUCGAGACUGCAUUGCUUGAGUAUGGGAGAGGGAAGUGGAAUUUCCGGUGUAGCGGUGAAAUGCGUAGAUAUCGGAAGGAACAUCAGUGGCGAAAGCGACUUCCUGGACCAAUACUGACACUCAAGUGCGAAAGCGUGGGGAGCAAACAGGG
rnacentral:rRNA from 1 species